AGUGAACGCUGGCGGUAGGCCUAACACAUGCAAGUCGAACGGCAGCACAGUAAGAGCUUGCUCUUACGGGUGGCGAGUGGCGGACGGGUGAGGAAUACAUCGGAAUCUACUUUUUCGUGGGGGAUAACGUAGGGAAACUUACGCUAAUACCGCAUACGACCUACGGGUGAAAGCAGGGGAUCUUCGGACCUUGCGCGAUUGAAUGAGCCGAUGUCGGAUUAGCUAGUUGGCGGGGUAAAGGCCCACCAAGGCGACGAUCCGUAGCUGGUCUGAGAGGAUGAUCAGCCACACUGGAACUGAGACACGGUCCAGACUCCUACGGGAGGCAGCAGUGGGGAAUAUUGGACAAUGGGCGCAAGCCUGAUCCAGCCAUACCGCGUGGGUGAAGAAGGCCUUCGGGUUGUAAAGCCCUUUUGUUGGGAAAGAAAAGCAGCAGGUUAAUACCCCACCGUUCUGACGGUACCCAAAGAAUAAGCACCGGCUAACUUCGUG
rnacentral:rRNA from 1 species